CUCCACAACUGCCACAGGACGGGCAAGCAGCAUGUCACCGUGGUGCCAUUGGCAACUGGUUCCUGUUAUCUUUCCAGUGUUAGAACUUCUGUGGGUGUGUGGACUUUAUGGUUAAGUCUGCCCUAAGCAUGGACAUACUUCAGGGAGUCUGGUUUCUAGGCAGUAUAAAGCAACAGUAUUCCUUAUUAUGCCUGUGGCAAACAGCACUUCCUUUGCCCAAGUGGGAUGAAGAUGGGGAAUUUGGUCUUGUGGCCACAGUGAUGCCACCAUGUGCCCAACUAACAACCCAUUCAUCCCAUGGGAAUUGGGAAGUAAAAGUUACCAGUGUCUUCAAGAGGGAGCAGGGCAACCCAAAACACUUAUCUUUGUGAGGUGUGUGUGUGUAGGUUGAUUUUAUUUCAUCCAAAGAAAGAAUGCGAACAUAGGAGCAAGGAAGGACUUUGCAGUUUUAAAUCGGAUGGUGCAGAUAGAGCCACGGAGUUUCCUCGUGUUCGAAAGUAGCGUGCCAAUCUGUGAAGCAGCUUCAUUCAUGGACAUGAGAACCUGUGCUGGAUAAAUGCAGAGACCAGCAGGGAACCAAGAGGGCUGCAAGCAGCAUGAGGAUAGUAUUUGACUGACGACGGUGUGCAGAGUUGGUGUUCUAAAAGCACUUGUGACUUGGAGACUAGGUCUGCUCUCUGCCUUGAUCAAAAAGAUUUUCUGUGCAUCAAAGAGUGAUCAAGACAAGAGAUUCCUGGCUGGUCAAGGAGCUGAGCGCAAGAGACUGUGGAGUGGAGCAUGGUUGACCUGCCAGGAGACACACCCAUCAAGAUACCAACUUUCCCUUCCCCUGAAGCGACGGUAUGGAAUGGGAACUUUGGGUCUUGCCUCAGCUCCUAACUGAAGAACUUAUACAAUUUAAAAGCAGAAUAAAUUCCAGAUUUUGGUUUGCA